GUUUGCGCCACGGUUUUCCGUUUCCGUAGAAGAUCUGAGUUGCCUGCACUUCAACAUGAUUUCUAAAAUUGUGUCAGCGUUUUGUUUUACAUCAUUGUUGGUGAUGACGAUCUCAGCUAACCCAACGGGAGACGUAGCUACUGUAAGAGACAGGCGGUCUCCGAUCCUGGGACUCCUGGGUCUGAAGGGGCAUCACCAUGGCCAUGGCGGUAAUGGCGGUAAUGGAUUCUCUGGAAGCUUAGCACAGGCCCAGGCAUCAGCUGGAAGCACUGGUGGGGAAUACGGUAUUCAUGGGGCUUCCGGUAGCCAGAACUUCGCAUCCAGUCAGAGCCAAUCGGCCAGUUUCGGGAUUGGCCCCUUAACCGCCAGCUUCUCUCAAAGCCAGGCCAACGCUGGGGCAGGUGCAGGUAGCAGGGGUUACAGCGAUUUCGAAAAUUACUACUAAAAAUCUGAAGCUGAAUUCCUCUUCGUCGCACCGCAGACGUGUCUGCAGUUCUUCUAGUGUUCCGAAGAUAUCAUCCGCCAUCGUGAACAAUGAAGAAACUAAGGGAUGGCUUUCUUCUAGGUUAUUGUGUAGUCUGGUGGUAGAAGUUUGCCGACGUUUCAGAGGUUGUUGCUGCCUCCAUCACCAGGGAGAUGAGCUUGACACAUCGAUAAACUUCUGCCUGACUACACGGCGCAACAAACCAGAAAACAGCCAUCUUCAUAUCCGCCACGAGAACCUGGUAUCUCACAAUGAUGAAACUGUACAAUGCUGUCUCAGCGAGCAUUUCACAAUAUUGUAAUUUAUAAAAUAAAUUCAUAUACUUAAUAUUGCGAAUACUUCAACGUCUGCGAAAAAUAAUGUAGAUUGUGGGGGGAAAAAUUCUCAGUGUGAACUGCACACGUAUGGUAUUUGUGGACAACUUUAAUUUAUUUUAAAACAUUCUUAAUACUUUUAUGAUGGUGGCCUGUUUAAUUAUUCACAUGUAAAAAAUCCCUCAAAACAAU